rnacentral:rRNA from 1 species
AGCAGCAGUGGGGAUAUUGCACAAUGGGGGAAACCCUGAUGCAGCCAUGCCGCGUGUGUGAAGAAGGCCUUCGGGUUGUAAAGCACUUUCAGUAGGGAGGAAAGGUAGCAGCUUAAUACGCUGUUGCUGUGACGUUACCUACAGAAGAAGGACCGGCUAACUCCGUGCCAGCAGCCGCGGUAAUACGGAGGGUCCGAGCGUUAAUCGGAAUUACUGGGCGUAAAGCGUGCGCAGGCGGUUUGUUAAGCGAGAUGUGAAAGCCCCGGGCUCAACCUGGGAAUUGCAUUUCGAACUGGCGAACUAGAGUCUUGUAGAGGGGGGUAGAAUUCCAGGUGUAGCGGUGAAAUGCGUAGAGAUCUGGAGGAAUACCGGUGGCGAAGGCGGCCCCCUGGACAAAGACUGACGCUCAGGCACGAAAGCGUGGGGAGCAAACAGGAUUAGAUACCCUGGUAGUCCACGCCGUAAACGAUGUCUACUCGGAGUUUGGUGUCUUGAACACUGGGCUCUCAAGCUAACGCAUUAAGUAGACCGCCUGGGGAGUACGGCCGCAAGGUUAAAACUCAAAUGAAUUGACGGGCCCC